CAACUGUGCAAUCCUGAGAAAAACAACAAAAAGAAUUCUACCUUGGAUCAUAAUAGGAGGGACACAUUGAUUAUGUCAUGAGGUGAGAGGGGAGAGAAGCAGAAAGGCAAGGCCCCCUGUCAGGCCAUAUAUCCUGAGUCGUCACUGAUUCAUGUUAAUCAAUCUGAAAGUCAGGUUUUCAUCCAAAGAAAUCCUGAAAAAAUUAGCAAAUUUUAUUUAACAACCUCCUGAAGCCAAUACAACUUCAGUACAUUUGUCAACACGUUCCUGUGCAAACUAUAACCUUUGUGAGAAAAACAUAAGCAUGUAGAUAAAAACUGAAGAUUAUUUCUACCCGGAUUUGAUUAAAUUGUGGGACAUGUUCUUUCACUGUGCAGACAUAACUGAAUUAUCCUCCAUCAGCUGACAAAAUGCUACUGUGACUGACAAGACAGACUGACAGCAGAAGCAGAGACUUGAAUAAAGAUCCAAGUGAGAAUGGACCCCAGAAAGGAGGUUUGGGGUUUUUUUUUAAUAUAUAGUUUCUAAUAUACUGU